AGUGAUUGUGUUUGUCCCCAUGUGAUUGUCCAGGUCUGGAGAUGAUCCCGGUGAUCAGAUGAAUGAACUCAAGCAGAAGCUGAAGUCGGAGCUCAGGGCGCUACUAGUGGAGCAACACGAUCAAAUCAAGAAGAAGAAAGAACAAAACAACACUGAGCGUUUGACCAAACUCCUGGAAAUGGCCACAGAGAAGCACUGCAGUGAGGUCAAGGCACUCAACAGGUGUGUUUGUCUGUGUGCGUGUGCGUGUGUCUGUGUCUGUGUCUGUGUCUGUGUGUCUGUACUGGUUUAUAUAUCCUGGUGGGGACUUAAACCUGACUACACACAGACUCAUGGGGACUCGUGUCACGGUGGGGACCUAAAUUGUGGUCCCCACGGGUACAAAAGCUUAUAAAUCAUACAGAAUGAAGUUUUUUGAAAAUCUAAAAAUGCAGAAAGUCUCCUGUGAGGGGUAGGUUUAGGGGUAGGGUUGGUGUAGGGCAAUAGAAUAUACGGUCUGUACAGUAUAAAAACC
rnacentral:lncRNA from 1 species